rnacentral:ncRNA from 2 species
CAACGUGCUCCGGGGUCGGUGUAAGUCCGAACCGGCGGUUAUAGUCCGCGACCCGCGCGUCCCGUGCAGAAAGUUUGCACAGGACAAACGGUUGAAUCGGUGAAAUUCCGAUACCGACAGUUAAAGUCUGGAUGGGAGAAGCACGUAG